rnacentral:lncRNA from 1 species
UGGCAAUAGUCCCCUGUUUUAGGCAAAUUGAAUGGUAUGCUGAAGUUUCUUAUUACAAUUUGUAAAUCCAUUACGUUGAUGUUUGUGGAUUUUGUUAACCAACACUUUCAAAUACAAAAUACUUGGACAUAAAUACUAGGGACACGUUUUAAGUGAGUGAUUUUGGGUUUGGAAAUAUUCUAUUGCUCACCUACAAUUUUGCUCUCCAUGAACCGUGUAAGCUAUAACCAUGACAACCACAUGUCAAAAAACACCAAAUCCCGACAGCACGACCAAUCAAAUGGCAUUGGCAAGAACCAAUCUUGCAAGUAAAAAACCCAUUCCCAAUCAGAUCAACGGUUUUCAUCAACUCCACGUGGCCGAGGUUAAGCAUAAAACCCAGGAUCUUCCUCCACGCCUCCAUUCUUCCCUCUUUUUCUUUUACGUCAAAUGGCAUGCCUUUCUUGUUUCUAGCUCUAAAAAAUAAAUCGUGCCAUUAUCAAACCGUUUUCCGAAUUAUCCAUUGACAAUAUCCACGUAAGACUAAAUAUAAGACGUAUAUAAAUACCCAUUUGGACCCUCAAGAAACACACGCCAAAAAGGAACAUAAACGGAAGAAAGAAAAAAUAAAGAAAAAGAGAGAGAGCUUUGAGUUUCAGAGAUGGAGAGAAAGAGAAAUAACCAGAAAGUUUCUUGGACUAGAGGGAAGUGUUUAGGCAAAGGCUCUUUUGGAACUGCAACAUUGGCAACCAAUGAAUCCAACGGUGCCGUUUUCGCGGUUAAGUCCGUCGAUUUGGCAACGUGUCUUCC